rnacentral:rRNA from 1 species
UACGUAGGCAGCGAGCGUUUGUUCGGAGUUACUGGGCGUAAAGGGUGUGUAGGCGGUUUUCUAAGUUUGGUGUGAAAUCUCCCGGCUCAACCGGGAGGUGCGCCGAAAACUGGGAGACUAGAGUGCGGGAUGGGAGAGUAGAAUUCCUGGUGUAGCGGUGAAAUGCGUAGAUAUCAGGAGGAAUACCGGUGGUGUAGACGGCUCUCUGGACCGCCACUGACGCUGAGACACGAAAGCGUGGGUAGCAAACAGG